GACACAGGGAGGUAGUGACAAGAAAUAACAAUACGGGGCUUAAUGUCUUGUAAUUGGAAUGAUGGGAAUUUAAACCUCUUCCAGAGUAUCAAUUGGAGGGCAAGUCUGGUGCCAGCAGCCGCGGUAAUUCCAGCUCCAAUAGCGUAUAUUAAAAUUGUUGCAGUUAAAAAGCUCGUAGUUGAAUUUCUGCUGCAUUGCUUUUGCUCCUUUACGAGUCUUUGCAUUGUGGCUUAUUUCGGACUUUGUUUUACAAUGUCCGGAUGUUUACUUUGAGAAAAUUAGAGUGCUCAAAGCAGGCUUUCGCCUUGAAUAGUUUAGCAUGGAAUAAUAAAGUAGGACUUUGGUUCUAUUUUGUUGGUUUUAGGUACCAAAGUAAUGGUUAAUAGGAACAGUUGGGGGCAUUCGUAUUUAACUGUCAGAGGUGAAAUUCUUAG
rnacentral:rRNA from 2 species